rnacentral:rRNA from 1 species
AUGAACGCUGGCGGCGUGCCUAAUACAUGCAAGUCGCGCGAACGGACGAGAAGCUUGCUUCUCUGAUGUUAGCGGCGGACGGGUGAGUAACACGUGGAUAACCUACCUAUAAGACUGGGAUAACUUCGGGAAACCGGAGCUAAUACCGGAUGAUAUUUUGAACCGCAUGGUUCAAAAGUGAAAGACGGUCUUGCUGUCACUUAUAGAUGGAUCCGCGCUGCAUUAGUUAGUUGGUAAGGUAACGGCUUACCAAGGCAACGAUGCAUAGCCGACCUGAGAGGGUGAUCGGCCACACUGGAACUGAGACACGGUCCAGACUCCUACGGGAGGCAGCAGUAGGGAAUCUUCCGCAAUGGGCGAAAGCCUGACGGAGCAACGCCGCGUGAGUGAUGAAGGUCUUCGGAUCGUAAAACUCUGUUAUUAGGGAAGAACAUAUGUGUAAGUAACUGUGCACAUCUUGACGGUACCUAAUCAGAAAGCCACGGCUAACUACGUG